AUGCCUUAAACUAAUGAGUAAGGAAAAUAACGAGCCGGGGUAACGCCUGGUUCCUCACUACUCAUGUGAGAAGAAUUUUUGAGCGGGUACAGGUCGCCCCGUGGAGGAUCUGCCUACUUUGCGGGACCUCCAGGUGCAGUGAUCUGCCCG